rnacentral:snRNA from 1 species
GUGGUCACUUUGGCAGCAUAUAUACUCAAAUUGGAACAAUACAGAUAAGACUAGCAUGGCCUCUGUGCAAAGAUGACAUGCAAACUCAUGAAGCAUUCAUAUUUUUA